rnacentral:misc_RNA from 1 species
CAAGAAUGGUAGAAAGUCUGCUACAUUUGGCUUCCCUGCCCAUACUGCAACAUUUCCCAUUGCUGUAAAAAAUUCACAUCCUUCUUUACUUUGUGAAUCCAAAAGGUCUCUUGAUAGCAUGAGGUUACCAACUACGUUGAAUGCCAUUAUGAAGAGAUAGUGAGGUAAAUUCACUGCGGCUGAUUCUCGCCCUGCACUUGCAGCUGCUGCAUCAUCUUCAAUACUCCUUAUCAUUUGAUCAAUGCAUUUCCGCCGUAUGGAG